UAUCAGCCUUUUGGGCUGAUUCUGUGGAGCGUGAGGAGUUAAACGCCUUCAUGCCUGCAUAUUCGUGUACUUUGGGUGUACUUGUCCGUGUGGUUAGUUAACAUCAAUUUUGGUUAUCAUAAAAUGGCUGGAGGAAUGUACCUUCAAUUUCGAUUGAAGUGUUAUAGCCUUCGGCAAACGUGAUGAUCGGGAUUGAGGAUUGCAACGGAUACCCUUCGGGGCUACCUGUCUGAUCUCUGAUCGUUGCUCUGGUGCCGAAAGCGUGCUUACGGUUAUCAAAGUCGAUGGUUAAUAGGUUAGAACGGGUUAAAUUCGUUAAGGAUGUUGACGUA
rnacentral:rRNA from 1 species